rnacentral:rRNA from 1 species
GGCGGCGUGCCUAAUACAUGCAAGUCGAGCGAAUCUGAGGGAGCUUGCUCCCAAAGAUUAGCGGCGGACGGGUGAGUAACACGUGGGCAACCUGCCUGUAAGACUGGGAUAACUUCGGGAAACCGGAGCUAAUACCGGAUAACAUAUGAGACCUCAUGGUCUUGUGUUAAAAGAUGGCUUUUAGCUAUCACUUACAGAUGGGCCCGCGGCGCAUUAGCUAGUUGGUGAGGUAACGGCUCACCAAGGCGACGAUGCGUAGCCGACCUGAGAGGGUGAUCGGCCACACUGGGACUGAGACACGGCCCAGACUCCUACGGGAGGCAGCAGUAGGGAAUCUUCCGCAAUGGACGAAAGUCUGACGGAGCAACGCCGCGUGAGCGAAGAAGGUCUUCGGAUCGUAAAGCUCUGUUGUUAGGGAAGAACAAGUAUCGUUCGAAUAGGGCGGUACCUUGACGGUACCUAACCAGAAAGCCACGGCUAACUACGUGCCAGCAGCCGCGGUAAUACGUAGGUGGCAAGCGUUAUCCGGAAUUAUUGGGCGUAAAGCGCGCGCAGGCGGUCCUUUAAGUCUGAUGUGAAAGCCCACGGCUCAACCGUGGAGGGUCAUUGGAAACUGGGGGACUUGAGUGCAGAAGAGGAGAGCGGAAUUCCACGUGUAGCGGUGAAAUGCGUAGAGAUGUGGAGGAACACCAGUGGCGAAGGCGGCUCUCUGGUCUGUAACUGACGCUGAGGCGCGAAAGCGUGGGGAGCGAACAGGAUUAGAUACCCUGGUAGUCCACGCCGUAAACGAUGAGUGCUAAGUGUUAGAGGGUUUCCGCCCUUUAGUGCUGCAGCAAACGCAUUAAGCACUCCGCCUGGGGAGUACGGUCGCAAGACUGAAACUCAAAGGAAUUGACGGGGGCCCGCACAAGCGGUGGAGCAUGUGGUUUAAUUCGAAGCAACGCGAAGAACCUUACCAGGUCUUGACAUCCUUAUGCCAUCCCUAGAGAUAGGGCUUUCCCUUCGGGGACAUAAGUGACAGGUGGUGCAUGGUUGUCGUCAGCUCGUGUCGUGAG